rnacentral:lncRNA from 1 species
CUCACGCAGCAAAGCGUUGGGCGUGCCGGAUAACUUCACUGCACCACUAAGAGCAGCACAGGUUCGAGAGUUAAAUGUGCUCAUCCUUGACUUCAAGCCAACACGUUGAGGCAGCGCAGCAAGGCAGUAUUGAUUACAGCACAUCGAUGUUC